rnacentral:rRNA from 1 species
UACGUAGGGUGCAAGCGUUAAUCGGAAUUACUGGGCGUAAAGCGUGCGCAGGCGGUUAUGCAAGACAGAUGUGAAAUCCCCGGGCUUAACCUGGGAACCGCAUUUGUGACUGCAUAGCUGGAGUACGGCAGAGGGGAUGGAAUUCCGGCGUGUAGCAGUGAAAUGCGUAGAUAUGCGGAGGAACACCGAUGGCGAAGGCAGUCCCCUGGGCCUGUACUGACGCUCAUGCACGAAAGCGUGGGGAGCAAACAGG